rnacentral:rRNA from 1 species
UACGGAAGAUCCGAGCGUUAUCCGGAAUUACUGGGCGUAAAGAGUUGCGUAGGUGGCAUGUAAAGCGAAUAGUGAAAGACUACGGCUCAACCGUAGGUACAUUGUUCGAACUCACAAGCUAGAGCAUAGUAGAGGUACCUGGAAUUCCCAGUGUAGGAGUGAAAUCCGUAGAUAUUGGGAGGAACACCGAUGGCGUAGGCAGGGUACUGGGCUAUUGCUGACACUAAGGCACGGAAAGCGUGGGGAGCGAACGGGG